UACUACCUUCGGGGUCAGGUGGAAUUCCUAACCGGCGGUAAAGCCCGCGAGUCCGUAAAAAUUUACGGAUAGAUCCGGUGAAAUUCCGGAGCCGACAGUUAAAGUCUGGAUGGGAGAAGGUAUUA
rnacentral:ncRNA from 24 species